UCUUCACCUGUGCCCACCAGCGGCAAUUUGGUACAACCAAAACCAGGGUUCAGAUGUGACCUCCAACAUCAACCACAGUGAGUGCUAUUCUCAUUCCCCUGGGGACAGGCAGCCCCCUCUUGACCCCAACAACUCGGAUCCCAGGAUCCUGCCCUAAUCCCUGUGCCCAGAGCGCCUCCUCCUGCUUCUUCCCAGGUCCCCAACCUAUUCCCAGGGUGCUCUGAAGGAGGCCUGCCCUCAGGUCACAGGAGAGAGUCCAACCCCUGAGAGAAAGCCUGGCCCAGGAGGGGCGCUCAUCUUGCCUAGCCCCGCUGAGUGCUGUCACCUUUUACCAGGCAGAGACUGAGUUUCCCAUCCUCGCAAACUCCUCUGCCUGCCCACAAGCAGCCAGGUGUCUGGACUUCUCCAAGGCUGAGGGCAGGCACACAUUUUGUCCCUGCGUGCCCUGACCUGCUGACCUUUCACCGCCUCCCUGACCACGAACAUUCCCGAACUGCCCUCCUGACUGAGCCUGGAUGAACAAACAGCCCUGACUCACUGAGACACUGGGCCACCUGGUGGAGGCUCUGUCAGUUUAACUGAUUCUGUCUCCAAGGGCCCAACUGCCAGAUGAUCCUGAUUGGCCGAGCAGCGUGGCCCACCUGACCUACUGAUGACCAACCUACUGGUCACCAGCUGCCUGUCAGAUGGACAGACAGACUCUCAGAAUUUGGGGGGAUCAGACAGGAGAGAGAGGAGGCUGGAAGGGAUUGCCUGGGGGCUCACCCACAAGCUCAGCUGCUCUCUGGACUCAAGGCCCUGUCAGGCUCUGCAGGGCUCCACAGUGCUCAGAUCAGAGCCGACCCUGCAGGGUUUCUCCACGUGAGGCCCCGCAAGCCCACAAAGUCCCUGCAAAUAUAUUCACCCUUGUGUGAGGAGAGGAUGCAUGCUAAUUAUCUAACUCUCAAAGAUGACCAUUUUAGACCUCAAAGAAGUCAGGAGCCAUGUCUCCAAGGAGACCCUUCAGGAAGGAAUAGACUGACUUGGACAUCUGAGCACUGUGGCCCACUUUAGCUUCUCAGAGAACACCAAGUCUCCAGCAAACUCUGCAUUUGCAUCUGGAACCCAAGUGAAAGGCCAAGCUGCUUGGGUGACAGGGAGAGGGUGGCAUGGCUGCCAGCAGGUCCCCAAGACCGAGAGGACACAGGGUUUGCUUAAAGACCCCUCAGCUGGCAGGUGGCAGAUUCAGGUAAAGCCCAAGAGGCCUGGGACCCACACCCCUGUUCCAUGGCUGGUCUCCUUCCCUCAAGUGUCCAGCUGGCCUCAAGUUCACUCUCUCUGGGUGAGGUCCGUGGCCAGCUUCCUCACUCGCUCGAGUAGCAGAAAGGCUGAAAACUGCAGGGGGACACUGAGGGCAGGAGAGCAGCUCCUACCUGCAGGGGUGGUACCCAGGCAGGCACAUGGGGCUCCUGCAGGAACCGCAGUCUGAGGCCUUGUCACAGAAACCAGUGUGGGAAGGAAACAUUUGUUUAUGGAUCUAUGCCAAGAUACCUUUCAUCACGCCACUCUCCUGGUCCCUAACCCUCAAUGGCUCCCCUCUGCCCUAAGAAAAACCAUCUUUAGGCCUCGUAAAAGACAAAUAUACCUCAACCCUCCAAUCCAGGUAAGAUAAGCCAAGAGCCCUCCUUCAAACAUGCCCCAAGCACUCCUGUCUUUGCUCCCAGCUUCCUCCUGUCAUUCUUGUCAGGAAGUUAUUGUCAUUGCCAUUGGAGUUCCAUUCCCUCCUUUCUCCAGCUUCUAACCGCUACCUGCCACCAUGGCCCCAGAGUGAACUCUUUGUUCCCUCCUCUGAAUUCUCCGGGAGUCACCCUCUCUGUAGGUCCCAUUCGACCCAUAGGAAAGGCCCCUUUUUGUCUCCCUUCCAGGACUUUACAAUCAGGCUUCGUUAGAUUUUUCUAAUUCCCCGCUGCUCCUGUUCAGGAACCGUUUUCCCGUUAUUGAUUCAGACAGUGCCCAAACUGUACACAGGCCAAUGCAGGUUUCAGGAAUCCAGCUGGUCAAUGCAGGGUGGAGGGCACGAGGGGUGGGCGCCCGAGGAACCGUAGGAGACGUGGCACGGGGAGAGAGGGGAGGUCUGUUGGAAGACGCCCAGGGACUGGUCCGGCUCUCUCCUGGAAAGUGGGCACUUUGGGUAGCGGUGAUUCGGAGAGGUAUUGGGACCGUGGUGAGUAAGGAGGGAGGGAAACAGAGAAAGGCCACAGGAGAAGGUGAAACAGGGAGAGAUUGGCCACGCCCCGUCCCUCCCUGCCCUCGCCCCUCCCCCAUUCAGAAAUCCCGCUUCUCCUUGAGAACUCAGACACCAGUUUCCCCAGAAAGGCCUCCUGCAUCUCUGUGGCUGCCACUCGCUCCUGUUUUGGCUGUGUCCCCUAGCCCUUUGCUCGCUUUCGUCCAGUCUUGGCCCCUCUGGCUCUGAUUCUGCUCAGCUGCUUGCGUGCCUGUCUCAAGCCCGAUGAAACUUACAUUCCUCAGGGGCGUGAACCGUGCCUUGUUGUCUUGAGUUCCCUCAGCUCCAGUCUCAGUGUGACUCAUACAGAGAAACAAUAUUGGCCGGGAGUCAGUUAUUCCAGGGAUGCAGUAAGAAGUAAAUAUGUGUUGUACAGAGUGGACACCAGAGCGCAUUAACUGGGGAGGAGCAAGUCCCAAGAGGAACAGUGAAAACAAGACUCUGGCUCCAACCACUUAGCAUCUCACACAGUGAAGGAGAAUGGUUGCCAUCCAGUUGGCCACCAGAGGGCGCUCUGGGCAAAAAGAUCUUGAGGCCGUUCUUCAGCUCUUCGACUUGAUCGCCUCGCAAACUCUGGAGUCAGUGCUGUUUCCCAGAGACAGCAGACGUAAGUGCCAUGCAGCUUGCCAGGCUCUCAGGGCAUGGGCGUUUACAGUCGGCUGGCAUUUCCCAUGGGGGAGCAGAGGCAAGAAAAUCGCCCAGUUGAUGGCCAGUUGUUUGUGGGAUGAAGGGUAAGACUGGAUAAGGCCUUGAGGUUAGGGCAAAGGUAUCAUGAGUCCUGAGCUGGUCUCUGCUUUCCUGACUUCUGGAAGUGUGACAUUAAGAAAAUCAUUCCUUCUCUGGGCCUGGUUUCCCUCUGUAAAAUGCUGGGCUCAAGUUCCAGCCUGUCCUGGGACGUCAUCAGCUCUUCCAACCCUUCUGGGCGGUGGCCAUGAAAUUUAGUCCACAUGGAAGCUUAGUUCCCUGCUUUCUGCCUCUGGGAGAGAACUGCAGUCAUGGAGACCGGUGCUUGCCACAGUAGGAGCUGCUAACGUCCUGGAUGGUCCCCAUACUCUUCCUGAGCUGCCCCAGGCACAACCAGAGGAGGAGACAUUCGCAAAAGCCAGCGCAGCCUGGGCCAUCAUUCAGAAGUAAGCCUAAAAUGGGUUUAUGCAGAAGGAAACUAUUCAUGCCAGUUCUUCCAAAACACAAAGAUGAUGGUAUAGGAUGUAUGACUCAUUCUUGUGUAUAAUGGUAGAGCAACAUGCAGUGGAAUGAUGCACCAUUCGGGAUGGGGCAGGCUUGGGAGGGAGACAAGGAAGGGUGAGGAGGGAGAGAAUGAGCUCUCUGUAACAUUAUAUUUCAUAAGAGAGAGACAGAUGGAUAGACUUCAAGCAUCUAUGGCAAAGUAUCAACUCCGAUAAAUCUGGUUGGUUCUUAAAUUGUUUUCUGUAAUCCUCUCUAUGUUUGACCCUUUCUUUUAAUUAAAAAGAAAAAAUGAUUUAAAUAAUUUUUAAAAAUAACAGAGAGGGGCCAGCCCCGUGGCCGACUGGUUAAGUUCACUUGCUCUGCUUCGGCGGCCCAGGGUUUCACCAGUUCGAAUCCUGGGCGCAGACAUGGCACCACUCAUCAGGCCAUGCUGAGGCAGCAUCCCACAUGCCACAACUAGAAGGACCCACAACUAAAAAUACACAACUAUGUAUGGGGGGCUUUGGGAGAAAAAGGAAAAAUAAAAUCUUAAAAAAAUAAUAAAAUAAAAUAACAGAGAGCCCACCAGUCCCUCAAUGCACAUCUGUGUCUGGGGUAGUUUUUUUUCCUAGCAUGACUUUCAUAGAUGAAGAAGUGUGUUCAUAAAGUGUCUUAGGUUUUCCAGGCCCAGGUGGGAUGGGAUAAUCCUAAAGGAGGGAGACACGCUGUUGGGGAGGGAGCAGCCCCCCCCCCCCAGAUCUAAGCAGUCUUCAGUACCUCAGAUCUGUGGGGCUUUGUCUUCAUCAUCUGUAAAAUGGGGAUGAAGCUUGCGCUAUCUACUUUACAAAGUUAUAACCUGCACUAAAUGAGCUCUUGAUGAAAACAGCUUGAAAAUAACGAAACAAGCAGGCAAACAAUGGUUAUUCAUCAAGCGAUGCAUCCCAGGGUCACUUACUGGUAACAUUAGCAUCAACAACAACCAAGGAAGAAAUAAAGGGAGGAUGAUAAAGGAGUGUGGCAGGAAGGAAGAAUGAAGAAGAAAAACUUACUGGUGAGUGCUAAGCCCUCCAAGGAACUAGCUGCUCUUCCUAGAUCCCAACUUGAGGCCUGUCUUUCAAAAUAAUAGAAAUUAUACCUUGGAACAAUGAUCCUGGUGGUUGUUGUCGUGAGAAUUUCAAACAAUAUUUACAUAUCUUACCACAAUGAGUCAACAGUUAUUUCCUAUGAAAGCCACAGGGCUUCAAUUUUCAGAGUUUAAAUAAAGAGCAUAGAGACACCACCAAAGAAACACUUAGUAAAUGUCAAUAUAGAAUAAACUGGAAGAAAAAGAGAAAAACAGCAAGCUGCUCACUGCCUUGUUUCCAACCGAGACGCUGUUCUGCAGAUCCUGGGGGACUGACAAGGACUGAUGGUUUCUUGAGGCUCUGUUUAAACCCAGUAGGUUGCAGACUUCCUGGGGCAGAAACAAGUCGGUUUCUAUUCUGAAAACUUGGCACUACCUAAGAAAAUCCAAACCUGUAAGUGGAAGCUUUGCAGGAGGAUUUUUAAUGUUAUAGGAAAGUGCUCAGGGUUUCACCCACAGAGACUUUCUGACACCGGAGGCAGCAGAAAGCAAGAUGUACCGUGGGUGGUGGUUAACUGGCCCCUCCCAACCCUUGGACUCAUUCUCUGCUCAGUGCCCCCGUUUCUCUCACCUUAUUCCGUGCCCCAGGACCCAGGCUUCUCUGCCUCUCUCAGGACAUUCUUAAUGUAAGCAGUUUAUCUACGCCAUGCUGUUGCAGGCUGAAGGUGAUAUCCCUUUCAGAAGGACCGCCAAAUUAAACAGGUUGCUUGGGGAAGGCAGCUUGGUGAGGUCCAAGGGCUUUGCCUCAGACAGACCUCCGUUUGAGUCCUCAUUUCUACAUGUGGUAGUCAUUCUCCAUGACAGCCCACAGUGAUCCCCGCCACCUGGUAUUCACAACCUUGCUGGUUCCCUCCAUAUCAAAUCAGGGCUGGUCCUGGGUGACCAAUAGAAUUUGGUAGAAGUGACAGCUUAUGAAUUCCGAGGCUAGGUCACAAAAGGCAGUACAGCUCUUGCCUUGAUCUCUUGGAUCACUCUUUCUGGGGAAGCUGGCCAGCACUCUGUGAGGACACUCAAGCCUCUCUGUAGAAAGAUCCACAUGAGGAAUACCUGAGGCCUCCUGCCAAAAACCAGCACCAACUUGCCAGCCUUGUAAGUGAACCCCCUUGGAAGUGGGGCCACCAGCCCCAGCUGACAAUUGACUACAACAUCAUGAGAGACUUUGAACCACCCAAGUGAGCUGCCUCUGAAUUCCUGACUCACCAAAAUCAUGAGAGAUAAUAAAUGAGGGCUGUUGUUUUCAAUCCUAAAUUUGGGGGCAAUCAGUUACAUAGCCAUAUUAACAAGUAUUUAACCUUUCUAAGUGUUGAGGGCAUUCAGAGCUGAUAUUCCUUUGGGAGACACCUGCAUAGUUAUAUCAAUUGUUAAAAUAUUUAAUUCUUUCUACACGGCUUUGUAAAGAGCCCUGUACUUGAAAUAAUGUCAUCUUGGAUUGCUGCUUCCCCAAGGUCCUUUGCAAAGGCAAAUCAAAUCCACUUGAGAGGAAGGUAACAUUAUCCUUGGCUUCAAAUUAUUUCAACAAGUAUUUUACAAAUACCAUGUCUAACACACAGCCGGAGAUGAACUGACACAUGGUCAAAAGCAGAAUUUUUUAGACACCCAGAAGACAUCCUUCACCCAAGGCUCAUGUGAUAGAAAAAUUAAGUAUAUAACGGCAAUGGAUUCCAUGUGCGGUGGGGAGGGAGAAACCAAAAGUUGGGAGAGGUACAAAUGGGCCUAAUGAAAGAGGAAAGAGGUUUUCAUUGCUUCCCAAGAUGAAGAUCCAGCUCUGAGAACUGCAGAGAGCAAACGCCUCUCAUUGAUGUUCUCUGAAGGGUUGCUGGACCUCAACUGGGGUAGACAGGGGCCCCUAGAGCUCAGAUCCUCAUUUCUCUCAAAAAUCCCAUCCCAAGCUUGGCUGGAGAAUGGGAAAGUUGCUUCUUCAAGAUGGCCCAAACCAUGGACCCACGAAAAGGACCCAAGUGUGUAGAAGAUCAGGACAUCUUUACCUGAAUGUUCUAGACUCCAUGAGACCCAGAGACUCCUAGAAAAUGUGACUGACAGAAAAUGCUCCUCCAUCCAGGAAGGUGAAGACUUGGAAGAGCUAUAUCAGAUUUAGGGGAAAGAAUAAUGGCAAUUUUUUGCAUCAAAUAAUGUAAAAUAAAAUUAAAACCCACUAUAAGAUAUUAAGCAAGAUCUGCAACAUGUCCCUCGUUAUACAGAUGAGAAAAUUAAGAACCAGGAGAUUAGAAAGUGAUUCCUUGCCUGCUGACCCUACAUUCCUCUGUCCUGGUGGAUGUUGCCAGAUGUUCUUUCCGCCUUACUCUCAGGACAUCAGUCCCCUGAAUUUUACAGGCCCGCUGGCACUUCUUUCUCAACAAGCUAAUAUUGGCAACCCGAACUGAAAGCCUCAGUUUGCAUCUAGUAUUCUCUUACUUUUCUUUCUCAACCCGAAUUCCAUUGUCCACAGCUUUUUCCAGUGCUUUGCAUUCCCUUCUCUGCACCUCCGUGGCAACCUCUGUCAUGAUGUGAAAAGAGCCAGCUUUCAAUCCCAACUGGACCACCAACCAGCUGUGAAAACCUGUGCACUUCAACUGCUAUGAACCUCAGUCUCAUUCUCUCUCCCUGCAUCAUGGAGUUGCUGUGAGGAAGAGUGAUAACGAACAUGGAGGACCAGCUUAGUAUCCAGCACAAAGUUCCUUGUCUAAUCAUGAGAAAAAUGUCAGAUAAACUCCUGUCAAGAGGCAUCCUACAGUACAUCUGAUCAAUACUGUUGAAAACUGUCAGGGUCAUCAAAAACAAGGAAAGUCUGAGACUGUCGCAGCCGAGAGGAGCCCAAGGAGACAUGAUGACUAAAUGCAAUGUGGUAUCCUGGAUGGGAUCCUAGAACAGAAAAAGGACAUUAGGUAAAAACUAAGGAAAUCUGAAGAAAGCAUGGACUUCAGCUAACAUUAAUGUAUCAAUAUUGGUUCAUUAACUGUAACAAACAUGCCACAGUAGGGUAAGAUGUUAGCCAUACAGGAAAAUGGGUACCGGGUAUAUGGGAACCCUCUGUACUAGCUUCUCCAUUUUUCUGUAAGUCUAAAACUUUUCUGAAAAAUAAAGCCUAUUUAAAAAAAAAUCAAAGUGAUAUGGGCUAUAGGCCAGAUGUCAAUCCAAUCCUAUGAAAGUACACAGGAAGAAUAUCAUUGACACUGAUUUGCCUUCUUAAUAGCAAG
ensembl:lncRNA